rnacentral:misc_RNA from 1 species
GCCGGACCCGGCCGCAGU